rnacentral:lncRNA from 1 species
GAUGAAGUGAUAUCACACAAAGUGACAAUUUUUAGAUAAAGUGGCAUUUGAAAAACGGUAACCUUUUAGAUGAAUUAGUAUAUGAAAAGGCCUUUUAGAUAAAACGACAUGUGAAAGGUGGUAACCUUUUAGGUGAAAUGACAUGAUGAAAUAUGGCAAUUUUUAGAUGAAAUGGUAUAACAGAAUGGUGACAACCUUUCUC